AGUGAACGCUGGCGGUAGGCCUAACACAUGCAAGUCGAGCGGCAGCACAGGAGAGCUUGCUCUCUGGGUGGCGAGUGGCGGACGGGUGAGGAAUACAUCGGAAUCUACUCUGUCGUGGGGGAUAACGUAGGGAAACUUACGCUAAUACCGCAUACGACCUACGGGUGAAAGCAGGGGACCCUCGGGCCUUGCGCGAGUGACUGAGCCGAUGUCGGAUUAGCUAGUUGGCGGGGUAAAGGCCCACCAAGGCGACGAUCCGUAGCUGGUCUGAGAGGAUGAUCAGCCACACUGGAACUGAGACACGGUCCAGACUCCUACGGGAGGCAGCAGUGGGGAAUAUUGGACAGUGGGCGCAAGCCUGAUCCAGCCAUACCGCGUGGGUGAAGAAGGCCUUCGGGUUGUAAAGCCCUUUUGUUGGGAAAGAAAUCCAGCUGGCUAAUACCCGGUUGGGAUGACGGUACCCAAAGAAUAAGCACCGGCUAGCUUCGUGCCAGCAGCCGCGGUAA
rnacentral:rRNA from 1 species